CAACGAUUGAGUGUUUUCUACCCGCGCUCAAACCUGCCCGCGCCCCCCCCCAUCCUCACACUCUUACCGACGGCUGUCAGCUCUCCACCCUCGAGCGGGGCACCGAUGAAGUCGACUCGCACUACCGCAAAGGUGCGUUCUGCGUGUCUUCCGUAUAGUACCACGAUUCGCAGCAGCCGCCAGACAAGCUCGCUGCUGUCACGAGUCGCCCACAGCGUUGGUGCAGUGGUGGCGAAGGUGAAUCGUCUGCGACAGCCGCCGUCGCGCGAGGCGCACAGUCCAUCAGGACUUGCUGAGGGUCUGCUGUCAUCCUCCUCCUCAGCCAAGCCGCCGGUGCUUGCGUCGGGCGCCAUCCUGCGCGAUCUCGCCUUCUUCACGCAGGCGUCGGAGGUGAGCUUCUUUUGUACCGGCCCCUUGCUUUGUGCGCAGGUGUUCGGUGUGGCCCCGGGGGACGUCUUCGAGGUGGGCGGCGGCCGUGCCGUCACGUCUAGCAGCGGCGUUGACGCAGAGGCCGGCAGCCGCAUUGCGGGGGAGGCGAUCGUUGUGGUGGGCACGCGCAGCGGCAGGUUGUGGGUGUGGGCGUACGGCGAUGAGGCGGCGCGAGUACUGCGUGUCCCUUCGAGCACCACCCCUGCCAUAUUAUCGAGUGCGGCAGAGGUGCGAGCCGCCCUUGUGGAGCACUACCAGCUGCGCCAACUCGCCCACCCGUCGCAUCGGCAAUGCAGCGCUGGCGGCGGGAAGGCAAGGGAACAGGAUGCCGAAGCGGAGCUCGUUCGGACCGUGCGCGAGGCCUUUCAGAGUCUCUGCGCCCGCGCACACGAGGAGGUGCAGCGGUUGUACACGCCAGAUCAGCUGGCAUUCUUGCAGCGCGCUCCCGACUUGUACGCGGCCGUCACGAAGCGUGUUGAUUGGGUGGCCAGCUCCUCGGAUGCCGUAUCACUCGCGGUAGGAGUAAACUCAGAGCCGCAGCGUCAGCAGCCGGAUCACCCUCCAGAGAUGUCAUCUUCGGUUCUCCCGCGUUCAAUCUACUCAGACAUCGCCCGCCACGCACAGCACGCCACCGCGGUGGUUCUGCUUGCACCGCGCGUAUCGCUGGUGACUGGGGCUGUCGGUUGGGUUGGCGAAGGGGACGUGGUGCUGGCCGAAUCGCUCGGCGGCCAAGGGGGUUGUUCUGAGGCGUCUCUGUCCGUCUCGGUGGUGAUCUGAGCUUUCAAAGGGCACAAGCAGCGGUGCACUUCUGUUUGAGAAGGUGACGCACGUCGGCGGCAAGUGGAGGUGAGCGAAGCAACACAACGUGCAGCUGCAGCACAGCGAGUAGUUGAUGGAGCUGCUCAGCGCCAGGACACGACGCGCGAGAGGGGCCUCCGACCCCUCUCGCUCGCUGCGCGUAUGUGUGUGUGUCUGCUCUCACAUCUGUGUCCCCCCCCUGCACGCGUGUGCAGAGGUGAAGAGAGCAUCAGCGAG
rnacentral:misc_RNA from 1 species